rnacentral:rRNA from 1 species
UACAGAGGGUGCGAGCGUUAAUCGGAAUUACUGGGCGUAAAGGGUGCGUAGGUGGUUAGAUAAGUUAAGUGUGAAAGUCCCGGGCUUAACCUGGGGAUUGCGCCUAAUACUGUCUAGCUAGAGUAUUGUAGAGGAAAGUGGAAUUUCCGGUGUAGCGGUGAAAUGCGUAGAUAUCGGAAGGAAUAUCGGUGGCGAAGGCGACUUUCUGGACAAAUACUGACACUGAGGCACGAAAGCAUGGGGAGCAAACAGG